rnacentral:rRNA from 1 species
AUGCUCGCCACCCAACCGAGGGUACUGGCAGUUUUAUGUAUCGUCAUACGUGAUAUGGGUUUUGAAGAACAUUAUGAGGGGUCAAAGGCUCCAUCUGCAGAUAUGAAGAUGCGAUGCACUGCAUCAAGAAUUUCUUCAGAGUGCACUUAUUCAUCUCCGACUGUACAAGUGGAUAUUGAAGAUGAUGUGACUUCCCCUCCUGCACCACCUCGUCGCCAAGAUUCGUCACUCGAGCCUGCUACUCCACCGCUCGUCUUCAACACUGUCGUCACCCCGUCGGAUCAACCAUCUUCAUCAACUCUUCGGGGCGUCGGAUCAAUCAUCUUCAUCAAGUCUUCGGGGCAUGCAUUGCUCUAUUUCUUUGUCCUUUUGGUCCUUCGAUGA